UACAGAGGGUGCGAGCGUUAAUCGGAAUUACUGGGCGUAAAGCGCGCGUAGGCGGCUUUGCAAGCCGGAUGUGAAAUCCCCGGGCUUAACCUGGGAACUGCAUUCGGGACUGCAUUGCUCGAGUAUGGGAGGGGGAAGUGGAAUUUCAGGUGUAGCGGUGAAAUGCGUAGAUAUCUGAAGGAACAUCAGUGGCGAAAGCGACUUCCUGGACCAAUACUGACGCUCAUGUGCGAAAGCGUGGGGAGCAAACAGG
rnacentral:rRNA from 1 species